rnacentral:tRNA from 1 species
GGACAAACUGCUAUUGGCGAAGUGUGGGCGAUUGCUAAUUGUCUGAGUUUACCUCUUAGGAGUUCGAAUCUCCUUUUGUCCA